UACGGAGGGUGCGAGCGUUAAUCGGAAUUACUGGGCGUAAAGCGCACGUAGGCGGUUUGUUAAGCAAGAUGUGAAAGCCCCGGGCUCAACCUGGGAAUUGCAUUUUGAACUGGCAGGCUAGAGUUUUGAAGAGGGUGGUAGAAUUUCCUGUGUAGCGGUGAAAUGCGUAGAUAUAGGAAGGAAUACCAGUGGCGAAGGCGGCCACCUGGUCAAAAACUGACGCUGAGGAGCGAAAGCGUGGGGAGCAAAC
rnacentral:rRNA from 1 species